rnacentral:lncRNA from 1 species
AGCCUAGUGAGCUAGAGAACCCUGCUCUUGGAGUUGUCCCUGCAGUCCCAUCAGGCGCUGCGUAUCAGAGCUGCACACCUGCACCAGCAGAAGGAACAGGACCCCAGGCUGCAGUGAGCAGGCGACCUCAGCGCCCUCUUCACUGAAGCACUGGAGCCUGGGCGGGUUUCCAUCAGCGGAGUCAAGUAAUUGAGCUCAGAUUAGAUUAAACCCAGACGCAUCCCGUGUUUAGUGCCAAUUACUCACGGCCAGCAGAGGCGGGCAAGGGGUCUGGACUGUGUCACGUCGUGCCUUCUUGGAGGCUGACUGCUCCCUCCAGCUCAAGUGCCCCUCAACCUGCUAAGACCAGAUUCCUGAAGGCUUGAAGUUCUUGAGAGGGAAGCACAGCAUAGAACAAACAAGCCAAACAACACUGAAGACUGAGUGUCUGCAAGGAAUUCCUUUCACCUGAGCCUCAGCUGGGGCACGCCUGUGGACUCCUGGUCACUUUCUGCCCUCCUAUCACCCAGGGAGAAGCUUCUUCCUUCUAGGUCGACAUAUGUGGUGUAGUUGGCAGGAUCCAGAGCUACUCCCCCCAGCCCUCCAGGGUUUCUCUCUGAAAGCCCUGCUUGGCACCAGCAGGAACCCAUCGCAUUCUCUCUGCCUUCAGAAGUUCCAACGGGUAUUUCAGAAAUGCCUCUUAUUAAAGACCAGCUUGCCUGCAUCAGCUGUAGAAGCCCAGCCCCUCUGUAGUGCCACCUCCUAGAAUGGACACAGCUGUUUGACCAAAUGCUUCUACUCUUAGGACUAAGAGACUGAUUCAAGAAGAUAUGGGACAACAUAUUUAUUUAUUUUUCUUUUCUGCUUAUCCCAAUUUGUUUUUUCCCCUUCUUUGCCUUCUUUUCCUCUAACCCAAAUCUCUCCAUAAUCACUGAUUCAGCUGUUGAUAAUGUGAAAUUCUAGGGAAGUUCCAAACAGGAGGAUUGAAGGAGCGCAGGGAACUUGGCCCCAAAAUAUGGCUCCCUGGUAUGAGUAUUUUCAAUUAAAGUCCCUCAAGAUCAACAGAAGCUGGAAGAGUCCUCUCCCUUAUCUACAUGAAGACCCUGCAGACCCACCAAAGAGAACAAUUACUUUUCCUUCUCCUCCCUCUUAUCUCAUUAUCUAUUGCAGAAAAGAAAACCAACACGUGACCACACCUGAACAGACGCUUUCAAAAAAAUAAUCCAUUUCUCCAGCUUAUUAAAUUUUCAAAGAGAACCAUUUACGAAUAACUCUCUGUUUCUUGACCCAUUCAUUCUCCUUAAUAAUAAUUUAUUGCCCCUCAACAGAAUCACCUACAUUCCGCCUUCCACCCUCCUCUCUGAAAAAACGCUGUAUAAGUAUCUGGACCUCAUGGGAUAUUGGGUAAUCACCUUAUUUUUCCCGUGUACACGUUAAUAAAUUUGUAUGCAUUUCUCUUAUUAAUCUGCAUUGUACACUUAAAAAGUAUUAAAAGAGUGAAAUUUAUGUUAUGAAUAUUUUAUCACAAUAAAACAAUAUUUUAAAAAACUGACAAAAAUUCUUUUUAAUUUCUUUCAAGUGAGGAAUUACCAACUACUUAACAGGGUGCUUAGAAUGGGGGAUUUUACCAGAUAAGUGGCAUGCUUUUUACAAUUAACAAUUGCUGUUAUUUACUGAGUAUCCACUUUCUCUGCCAGCUCCUGCGUUAAGCACUUUACAUAUACUAAUUCAAAUCCUUAAAAAAGAAAAUAAAGAAGAGAAAAGGAAAGAAAAAUAAGA